GACGAGCGCUGGCGGCGUGCUUAACACAUGCAAGUCGAACGGAAAGGCCCUGCUUUUGUGCGGUGCUCGAGUGGCGAACGGGUGAGUAACACGUGAGUAACCUGCCCUUGACUUUGGGAUAACUUCAGGAAACUGGGGCUAAUACCGGAUAGGAGCUCCUGCUGCAUGGUGGGGGUUGGAAAGUUUCGGCGGUUGGGGAUGGACUCGCGGCUUAUCAGCUUGUUGGUGGGGUAGUGGCUUACCAAGGCUUUGACGGGUAGCCGGCCUGAGAGGGUGACCGGCCACAUUGGGACUGAGAUACGGCCCAGACUCCUACGGGAGGCAGCAGUGGGGAAUAUUGCACAAUGGGCGGAAGCCUGAUGCAGCAACGCCGCGUGCGGGAUGACGGCCUUCGGGUUGUAAACCGCUUUCGCCUGUGACGAAGCGUGAGUGACGGUAAUGGGUAAAGAAGCACCGGCUAACUACGUG
rnacentral:rRNA from 1 species